rnacentral:rRNA from 1 species
UCUCCGUUGUGAACCAGCGGAGGAUCAUUACCGAGUUUACAACUCCCAAACCCCCUGUGAACCUAUACCAUUACUGUUGCUUCGGCGGGUCAUUGCCCCGGGGAAAGGACGAGGUGCCGCCUAGGCUCCCCGGCCCGCCCCCGGAAACAGGCGCCUGCCGGGGGAAUCAAACUCUUCUGUAUUUUUUACUUUUACUGUUAUACUGUCUGAGUACAAAACUAUAAAUGAAUCAAAACUUUCAACAACGGAUCUCUUGGUUCUGGCAUCGAUGAAGAACGCAGCGAAAUGCGAUAAGUAAUGUGAAUUGCAGAAUUCAGUGAAUCAUCGAAUCUUUGAACGCACAUUGCGCCCGCCAGUAUUCUGGCGGGCAUGCCUGUUCGAGCGUCAUUACAACCCUCAAGUCCCCUGUGGACUUGGUGUUGGGGACCGGCGACACGCAGCUGUGUUUUUCUCACAGUUGGUUCGCCGCCCCCUAAAUGACUUGGCGGCCCCGUCUUAGGCUACCCCUCUGCGUAGUAGAACACACCUCGCAACAGGAAGCCCGGCGAAUGGCCACUGCCGUAAAACCCCCCAACUUCUUUCAGAGUUGACCUCGAAUCAGGUAGGAAUACCCGCUGAACUUAA